GACAGAGGGGCCGAGCGUUAGGCGGAAUCACUGGGCUUAAAGCGUGUGUAGGCGGAUCGUUAAGUGCCUUGUGAAAUCCCACGGCUCAACCGUGGAACUGCUUGGCAUACUGGCGAUCUUGAGCCACUUAGGGGCUACCGGAACAAAUGGUGGAGCGGUGAAAUGCGUAGAUAUCAUUUGGAACGCCAAAGGUGAAAACAGACAGCUGGGGAUGUGCUGACGCUGAGACACGAAAGCCAGGGGAGCGAACGGG
rnacentral:rRNA from 1 species